GUGAUUAAACCGAGCGUGUCUUCAUUGACCGCUCACCCUUCUCACCAUCCACAUACACCUGUGCACUGUUUAGCCUGAGCCGGUUUUCCGGUCCAGGUUAUCAUUUCAUACAAACUCUAGUCUUAUGAAUGUAAACGUUUUAAUAACAGUAAUA
rnacentral:misc_RNA from 1 species